rnacentral:rRNA from 1 species
UGGGGUAUAUUGCACAAUGGGCGCAAGCCUGAUGCAGCGACGCCGCGUCGGGGAUCAAGGCCUUCGGGUUUUAAACUUCUUUUGCUCUGAACAAGGCGCACUUUGGGGUGUGUUGAGUGUAGGGGUUGAUUAGCUCCGGCUAACUACGUGCCAGCAGCCGCGGUAAUACGUAGGGCGCGAGCGUUGUCCGGAAUUAUUGGGCGUAAAGGGCUUGUAGGUGGCUGGUUGCGUCUGUCGUGAAAGCUCAUGGCUUAACUGUGGGUUGGCGGUGGGUACGGGCAGGCUUGACUGCAGUAGGGGAGGCUGGAAUUCCUGGUGUAGCGGUGGAAUGCGCAGAUAUCAGGAGGAAUACCGGUGGCGAAGGCGGGUCUCUGGGCUGUUACUGACACUGAGAAGCGAAAGCAUGGGGAGCGAACAGG